rnacentral:lncRNA from 1 species
CGGUUCAUUGCUUGUGGGAGAGAGUCAUCUCGCGCAGCUCGGCUGCGUCCACCUGCGCUCGGAGGUUGCUGGGCCUGUAGUACCCCGUCACCGGGUCCGGGACCCAAGAAUUCGACGAAGCAGAGGUGGAGGAGGAGGCGGCGGUGGUCGAGGAGUCUACCACCUUGCGCGCCACCGUUUUCUGCUCCACGGACCUUCUCACACCAGCCGCCGCCGCCGCUGCCGCAGCGUAUCCCCUCCUGGAUGAAUCGAACGGAGCAGGAGUAAGUAAUGGUCCAAUUAUAGAUUAUAGAUUAUAGAUAGAUGAUGAUGAUUGGUAUAUCAGUUACCGGUUAACCAAGAGGGCGAUGUUUUGAGAGACGGACGCAGCGAGAGCAGCAGCACUAGAGAGAGAGCGAGCCAUCUGCCCUCUUCGUUUUAUCACCUUAAUUUCUCUAGCUAGUAGAAAGAAAGAGAAGAGAUGGACGAACAGGAAGAGGUCCUUCUCUUCGUGUUGUUGUGCUCCUCUCUCUCUUUCUCUCUCUCUCCUUCUAUCCUCCC